rnacentral:rRNA from 1 species
AUGCAAGUCGAACGAUGAUGCUGGUAGCUUGCACUGGUGGAUUAGUGGCGAACGGGUGAGUAACACGUGAGUAACCUGCCCCUGACUUCGGGAUAAGCCCGGGAAACUGGGUCUAAUACCGGAUAUGACUUCCUGCUGCAUGGCAGGGGGUGGAAAGAUUUAUCGGUUGGGGAUGGACUCGCGGCCUAUCAGCUUGUUGGUGAGGUAAUGGCUCACCAAGGCGACGACGGGUAGCCGGCCUGAGAGGGUGACCGGCCACACUGGGACUGAGACACGGCCCAGACUCCUACGGGAGGCAGCAGUGGGGAAUAUUGCACAAUGGGCGAAAGCCUGAUGCAGCGACGCCGCGUGAGGGAUGACGGCCUUCGGGUUGUAAACCUCUUUCAGUAGGGAAGAAGCCCCUUUUGGGGGGUGACGGUACUUGCAGAAGAAGCGCCGGCUAACUACGUGCCAGCAGCCGCGGUAAUACGUAGGGCGCAAGCGUUAUCCGGAAUUAUUGGGCGUAAAGAGCUCGUAGGCGGUUUGUCGCGUCUGCCGUGAAAGUCCGAGGCUCAACCUCGGAUCUGCGGUGGGUACGGGCAGACUAGAGUGAUGUAGGGGAGACUGGAAUUCCUGGUGUAGCGGUGAAAUGCGCAGAUAUCAGGAGGAACACCGAUGGCGAAGGCAGGUCUCUGGGCAUUUACUGACGCUGAGGAGCGAAAGCAUGGGGAGCGAACAGGAUUAGAUACCCUGGUAGUCCAUGCCGUAAACGUUGGGCACUAGGUGUGGGGGACAUUC